AGGGUUCGAUCCUGGCUCAGGAUGAACGCUGGCGGCGUGCUUAACACAUGCAAGUCGAACGAAGCACUUUAAGAAGAAGUCUUCGGACGGAAUCUUUAAGUGACUGAGUGGCGGACGGGUGAGUAACGCGUGGGCAACCUGCCUUAUAUAGGGGGAUAACAGUCAGAAAUGACUGCUAAUACCGCAUAAGACCCCGGUACCGCAUGGUACAGAGGUAAAAGCUAUUGCAGUAUAAGAUGGGCCCGCGUCUGAUUAGCUAGUUGGUGAGGUAACGGCUCUACCAAGGCAACGAUCAGUAGCCGGCUUGAGAGAGUGGACGGCCACAUUGGGACUGAGACACGGCCCAA
rnacentral:rRNA from 1 species